GAGUUUGAUUCUGGCUCAGGAUGAACGCUGGCGGUCUGCUUAACACAUGCAAGCGAACGGAAUCCUUCGGGAUUUAGUGGCGGACGGGUGAGUAACACGUGAGAAUCUGCACCAGGAUGGGGACAACAGCGGGAAACUGCUGCUAAUACCCAAUGUGCCGAAAGGUGAAAGUUUAUCGCCUGAGAAUGAGCUCGCGGCCGAUUAGUUAGUUGGUGGGGUAAAGGCCUACCAGACGGCGAUCGGUAGCUGGUCUGAGAGGAUGAGCAGCCACACUGGGACUGAGACACGGCCAGACUCCUACGGGAGGCAGCAGUGGGGAAUUUUCCGCAAUGGGCGCAAGCCUGACGGGCAAGACCGCGUGGGGGAGGAAGGCUCUUGGGUUGUAAACCCCUUUUCUCAAGGAAGAAAAAAUGACGGUACUUGAGGAAUCAGCCUCGGCUAACUCCGUGCCAGCAGCCGCGGUAAU
rnacentral:rRNA from 1 species